AUUGAACGCUGGCGGCAGGCCUAACACAUGCAAGUCGAGCGAGCGGCGGACGGGUGAGUAAUGUCUGGGAAACUGCCUGAUGGAGGGGGAUAACUACUGGAAACGGUAGCUAAUACCGCAUACCAUCAGAUGUGCCCAGAUGGGAUUAGCUAGUAGGUGGGGUAAUGGCUCACCUAGGCGACGAUCCCUAGCUGGUCUGAGAGGAUGACCAGCAACACUGGAACUGAGACCCGGUCCAGACUCCUACGUGAGGCAGCGGUGGGGAAUAUUGCACAUGGGGCGCAAGCCUGAUGCACCCAGGCCGGGUGUUUGAAGAAGGCCUUCGGGUUGUAAAGCACUUUCAGCGGGGAGGCUUUACCCGCAGAAGAAGCACCGGCUAACUCCGUGCCAGCCGCCGCGGUAAUA
rnacentral:rRNA from 1 species